GAUUUUCUGGAUAAGAUUGUGGCUCGCACAAGCCUCGCUGGGUGGAUCCUCGCUCUGCUUCAUCACCCCAACCCACCUGCCAAUUCAUGCAGCAACCCAUCGAUUCUUCUUCUUCCCCACCUCGUCUUCAUUUGUUGAAGUGGGUUUGCAGUGAGUGAGUGACGCAGAGUUUCCGCACAAUGGCGUCCUUCACCAUGGCAGCCGCCAUCGCCCCUGCUGGCCUCGUCGCCCCUCUCGACCUCAGCUCCCGCACCGCCAUCUCUGGCUCCCGUGCUUCCGCGUUCGUUAAGAACUCCAAGGCCAGGACGACCUGCUCUGCAUCAUCCGUCGACGAAACCACCACUGUCGCGCAAGCCGCGGGGAAGUUCGCUACCGCGUUGGCGCUGGCUGCUCUCGUUGGCGGGAGUGAUAUGGUUGUGCCUGAGGCCAAGGCCGAUGUUGCUGGUCUGACCCCUUGCAAGGAGAGCAAGGGCUUCGCCAAGAGGGAGAAGCAGGAGAUUAAGAAGCUUGAGAGCAGGCUGAAGCUGUACGCGCCCGACAGCGCACCCGCGUUGGCUUUGAACGCGACCAUUGAGAAGACGAAGAGGAGGUUUGCGUUUUACGGCAACGAGGGAUUGUUGUGCGGUACUGAUGGGCUCCCUCAUUUGAUUGUGGACGGUGACCAGGCUCAUUUGGGCGAGUUUGUGUACCCCGGGUUGGUGUUCUUGUACAUUGCCGGAUGGAUUGGAUGGGUGGGCAGGGCCUACUUGAUUGACGUGAGGACUUCCAAGAAGCCCACCGAGAAGGAAAUUAUCAUCGACGUGCCUCUCGCACUCAGGAUCAUGUCGAAGGGUCUCACGUGGCCCGUGGCUGCCAUCGGCGAGCUGAGGAGCGGCAAGUUGGUGGAGAAGAGCGCCAACAUCACCGUUUCGCCUAGAUAAACUAAUAUGAGUUCAGAAUUGUGUGAGAUUGUGGAGCGUUAGCUGUCUGCAUGGCUUACGCGAUACUCUGGAUCACAUCUGUUGACGUAAUCCCAAGUGAUUUUUCAUGAAAUAAUUCCCUGUUUGCUGUACUCGAAUUUGAUCACGAACUGCUCGAAAGGAGUCAUGCUCUGGAGUUCAUUUGUAUUGUAGUGAGGGCCUUUCCUGAACACAUUUGUCACAAUUGGUUGUGAAGAGUGCCAUUGCUCCUGUGUGUUGCACCAUCUGUUUGGUUUCGCUUCCGUUCAGUUAGGGCAAACGUGGGUUCAUCAAACCUCAGGUUUUACUAAUAGAAUGGGUCCAUCGAGCACAGACUCGGCGUUUGUUUAUUGGAAAAUAUCUAGGAACUUUUGGAUAAUCAUAGUUAAUUUUCAUUCGUGAGAAUGACCUUGAGAAC